UAAAACAAAUCAAGGAUUCUGUCCCUAUCUACUAUCUAGCGAAACCACAGCCAAGGGAACGGGCUUGGAAUAAUUAGCGGGGAAAGAAGACCCUUUUGAGCUUGACUCUAAUCUGGCAGUGUAAGGAGACAUAAGAGGUGUAGAAUAAGUGGGAGAUAUUAGGCUUCGGUUUGAUAUCGCCAAUGAAAUACCACUACUCUUAUUGUUUCCUUACUUACUUGAUUAAGUGGAACGUGUAUCAUUUCCUAGCCAUUAUACGGAUAUAUUAAUUAUGUCUUAUGGUAUUGGGUUUUGAUGCAAGCUUCUUGAUCAAAGUAUCACGAGUUUGUUAUAUAAUCGCAAACAAAUUCUUUAAUGAGAAAAUGCAGCAAUGUGUUUUUGAUUUAAUAAUUUGGUAUAACUCCAAUUACUCAGGUAUGAUCCAAUUCAAGGACAUUGCCAGGUAGGGAGUUUGACUGGGGCGGUACAUCUCUCAAAUAAUAACGGAGGUGUCCCAAGGCCAGCUCAGUGCGGACAGAAACCACACAUAGAGCAAAAGGGCAAAUGCUGACUUGAUCUCGGUGUUCAGUACACACAGGGACAGCAAAAGCUCGGCCUAUCGAUCCUUUUGGUUUAAAGAGUUUUUAACAAGAGGUGUCAGAAAAGUUACCAUAGGGAUAACUGGCUUGUGGCGC
rnacentral:ncRNA from 1 species